AACACCGCAUGCAAUUGUUUUCCAACACUAUGAGUUCGUUGACAAUACAAAAUCAUAAUAUUCUAUGCAUGUUGAAUGGAUAAUUGAAAUGAUAAUUUUGCUAUCUUUGUACAAUAUUUGUUCUUUUGUCUAAAAGUAGUAAUUACUAUAAAAUUACCCUGCAGUACUUUUGACAGUUGACAUUGCUGACAAUACUUCCUUCCUCAUUAAUUUAAAUUAUUUAAAUAUAUACAUACAUAUGUAUGUAUAAAUGUACCUAUGUAUGUAUAUUAAUAAUAUUAACAAAGGUGCAUAUUUCAAAGACGGAAAAUAUGACAACUUUAAGGAUUGUAGUACGGAUUUUUCUAGAAACAUGGAAAUCUAACCUGGAAUUCCCCCAAUUGAACUUACCGAUUUUGCGGUGCAGCAAAUUCGAUGUUAUUCAGAAGCAAAGCCUUGAAAAGACGAACACGACGAACAAAAGUAUUAAAUGUUUAACUUCACUUGUAAAAAUGUAACUUUUUUUUUAUUUUUGUAUUUUUUACGAAAUAAAGAACACUCAAGAAAUGCAAUGAAAAGACUGCAUGGAACAAGUUAUUAAUUAUUUUUUUUUUAAAGUUUAUUUUUGGGUAAUAAAUUAAUU